UUCGAGUGGCGGACGGGUGAGUAACGCGUGGGUAACCUGCCUUACACAGGGGGAUAACACCUGGAAACAGGUGCUAAUACCGCAUAAGCGCACAGGGCCGCAUGGCCCGGUGUGAAAAACUCCGGUGGUGUAAGAUGGACCCGCGUCUGAUUAGCUUGUUGGCGGGGUAAGGGCCCACCAAGGCGACGAUCAGUAGCCGGCCUGAGAGGGUGGACGGCCACAUUGGGACUGAGACACGGCCCAAACUCCUACGGAAGGCAGCAG
rnacentral:rRNA from 1 species